AGUAAAUAGAUACCCCGGUAGUCCACGCCCUAAACGAUGUCGACUGGUUGUUGGGGGUUUGACACUCUCAGUAAACGAAAGCUAAACGCGUGAAAGUCGACCGCCUGGGGAGUACGGCCGCAAGGUUAAAACUCAAAGGAAUUGACGGGGACCCGCACAAGCGGUGGAUUAUGUGGAUUAAUUCGAUGCAACGCGAAAAACCUUACCUACCCUCGACAUGUCCGGGAGCCUGCUGAGAGGCGGGUGUGCUCGAAAGAGAACCGGAACACAGGUGCUGCAUGGCUGUCGUCAGCUCGUGUCGUGAGAUGUUGGGUUAAGUCCCGCAACGAGCGCAACCCUUGCCAUUAGUUGCCACCCGUAAGGGGGCACUCUAAUGGGACUGCCGGUGACAAACCGGAGGAAGUGGGGAUGACGUCAAGUCCUCAUGGCCCUUAUGGGUAGGGCUUCACACGUAAUACAAUGGCGCGUACAGAGGGUUGCCAAGGAGCGAUCUGGAGCCAAUCCCGUAAAGCGCGUCGUAGUCCGGAUUGCAGUCUGCAACUCGACUGC
rnacentral:rRNA from 1 species